CUGGCUCAAGACGAACGCUGGCGGCGUGCUUAACACAUGCAAGUUGAACGGUAUGACAUGGAAGCUUGCUGAAGUGUCAUAUAGUAGCGGACGGGUGAGUAAUGCAUGAGAAGCUGCCAUUGGGAGGGGGACAACAGUUGGAAACGGCUGCUAAUACCCCGUAUGCCGGAGGGUGAAAGGGAGUAAUCCGCCCGAUGAGGUGCUCAUGUCCUAUCAGCUGGUUGGUGGGGUAACGGCCUACCAAGGCGACGACGGGUAGCCGGCCUGAGAGGGUGAACGGCCACACUGGAACUGAGAUACGGUCCAGACUCCUACGGGAGGCAGCAGUGGGGAAUAUUGGGCAAAUGGGGGCAACCCUGACCCAGCGACGCCGCGUGGGGGAAGACGGCCUUCGGGUUGUAAACCUCUUUUGUACGGGAAGAAGGAAGUGACGGUACUGUACGAAUAAGUCCCGGCUAACUACGUGCCAGCAGCGGC
rnacentral:rRNA from 1 species